CCGCCUGUGCCUGCGCGCUACGUCCGCUGGGAGUUGUAGUCUUGACCGCCCCUCUGUCCUUGGUCUCCCCAACGCCUCAGCCCCCUGCAGGUUGAACUACAACUCCCAGAGGCCCACGCGUCGGAGGCCUGGAGUGGCUGAGGGCUCAAGGGGGAGGGAUAAGGGGGCGUCUGGAGAAGCUGGGGCGAGGGAACUGAGGAGUGAAGGGAAUAAAAGAAAGCGUGGGGGCUCAGUGGGAAAGGACAGGGUGCCCGAAAGACGCGCAGUGAGCCGAGUUGGGGAGCGGUGAGCCCCAACUGCGGCCCGACCCGGGCGGGGCCUGGGCGGGGCUUGCGGGAGAGCGGGCGGGGACUAGCUGCGUCACGCCGCGUGGGCGGGGCCGCAGGGGGUUGUCCGAUCGUGGCACGCACAGCAGCCGCAGCCGCCUCGCGCCUGGUCCCGCGGUCGCAGCUCCAGCCGCCUCCUCCGCGCAGCCGCCGCCUUAGCCCCUCGUUCGGUGGGUCGGUCCUGUCCGCCACUUGGGCUCCAGCCGCGCCCUCCAAGCCCUUCAGGCCACCCCAGUGUCCUUCUUUUUCUCCGGCCCGACCCAGCUCCGCGAAGAUGGUGGACCGCGAGCAACUGGUGCAGAAAGCCCGGCUGGCCGAGCAGGCGGAGCGCUACGACGACAUGGCCGCGGCCAUGAAGAACGUGACUGGGCUGCAUGAGCCACCGUGC